UAGGGAAUCUUCGGCAAUGGGGGCAACCCUGACCGAGCAACGCCGCGUGAGUGAAGAAGGUUUUCGGAUCGUAAAGCUCUGUUGUAAGAGAAGAACGAGUGUGAGAGUGGAAAGUUCACACUGUGACGGUAACUUACCAGAAAGGGACGGCUAACUACGUGCCAGCAGCCGCGGUAAUACGUAGGUCCCGAGCGUUAUCCGGAUUUAUUGGGCGUAAAGCGAGCGCAGGCGGUUAGAUAAGUCUGAAGUUAAAGGCUGUGGCUUAACCAUAGUACGCUUUGGAAACUGUUUAACUUGAGUGCAGAAGGGGAGAGUGGAAUUCCAUGUGUAGCGGUGAAAUGCGUAGACAUAUGGAGGAACACCGGUGGCGAAAGCGGCUCUCUGGUCUGUAACUGACGCUGAGGCUCGAAAGCGUGGGGAGCAAACAGGAUUAGAUACCCUGGUAGUCCACGCCGUAAACGAUGAGUGCUAGGUGUUGGGUCCUUUCCGGGACUCAGUGCCGCAGCUAACGCAUUAAGCACUCCGCCUGGGGAGUACGACCGCAAGGUU
rnacentral:rRNA from 1 species